rnacentral:rRNA from 1 species
CAGGCCUAACACAUGCAAGUCGAGCGCGCCUUCGGGUGAGCGGCGGACGGGUUAGUAACGCGUGGGAACGUGCCCUUCUCUACGGAAUAGCCUCUGGAAACGGAGAGUAAUACCGUAUACGCCCUUUGGGGGAAAGAUUUAUCGGAGAAGGAUCGGCCCGCGUUAGAUUAGGUAGUUGGUGGGGUAACGGCCUACCAAGCCUACGAUCUAUAGCUGGUUUUAGAGGAUGAUCAGCAACACUGGGACUGAGACACGGCCCAGACUCCUACGGGAGGCAGCAGUGGGGAAUCUUAGACAAUGGGGGCAACCCUGAUCUAGCCAUGCCGCGUGAGUGAUGAAGGCCUUAGGGUCGUAAAGCUCUUUCGCCUGUGAUGAUAAUGACAGUAGCAGGUAAAGAAACCCCGGCUAACUCCGUGCCAGCAGCCGCGGUAAUACGGAGGGGGUUAGCGUUGUUCGGAAUUACUGGGCGUAAAGCGCGCGUAGGCGGAUUAGAAAGUUGGGGGUGAAGUCCCGGGGCUCAACCCCGGAACUGCCUCCAAAACUGCUAGUCUAGAGUUCGAGAGAGGUGAGUGGAAUUCCGAGUGUAGAGGUGAAAUUCGUAGAUAUUCGGAGGAACACCAGUGGCGAAGGCGGCUCACUGGCUCGAUACUGACGCUGAGGUGCGAAAGUGUGGGGAGCAAACAGGAUUAGAUACCCUGGUAGUCCACACCGUAAACGAUGAAUGCCAGUCGUCGGAUAGUAUACUAUUCGGUGACACACCUAACGGAUUAAGCAUUUCCGCCUGGGGAGUACGGUCGCAAGAUUAAAACUCAAAGGAAUUGACGGGGCC